UUGAGCCGUAUGCGGGGAAACUUGCACGUACGGUUCUUAGGGGAGGGGGUGGCCGCGAGGUCACCUCCUUACCCGCC
rnacentral:ncRNA from 1 species